rnacentral:rRNA from 1 species
ACAUGUCUUUAAGAGUUUAAUUUAAAGUCUGAUCUGCUCCAUGAUAUUAAUUAAAUAGCUGCAGUAAUUUGACUGUACAAAGGUAGCAUAAUCAAUAGUUUUUUAAUUAAAAGCUAGAAUGAAUGAUUUGAUAAGGUAAAUUUUGUCUCAAAUUUAAUAGAAUUAGAAUUUUUAUUUUAGUAAAAAUACUGAAGUUUGUUUAAAAGACGAGAAGACCCUAUAGAUUUUUAUAUUUAAUUUUUAUUAAUUUAAAAUUUAAUAAAAAUUAUUAAAUAAUUUAAGUAUUUGAUUGGGGUAAUUUUUAAAUUAAAAAAAUUUUAAUUAAUAUUUAACAAUAAUAAUUGAAAUAAUGAUCUUUAGUAUUAAGAUUAAAAGAAUAAAAUACCUUAGGGAUAACAGCGUAAUUUUUUUAGAGAGAUCAUAUUAAUAAAAAAGUUUGCGACCUCGAUGUUGAAUUAAGAUUAAAUUUUAAUGUAGAAGUUAAAA